rnacentral:misc_RNA from 1 species
GAUGAAGAACGCAGCGGAAUGCGAUAAGUAGUGUGAAUUGCAGAAUUCAGUGAAUCAUCGAAUCUUUGAACGCACAUUGCGCCCUUUGGUAUUCCAAAGGGCAUGCCUGUUCGAGCGUCAUUUGUACCCUCAAGCUUUGCUUGGUGUUGGGCGUCUUGUCUCUAGCUUUGCUGGAGACUCGCCUUAAAGUAAUUGGCAGCCGGCCUACUGGUUUCGGAGCGCAGCACAAGUCGCACUCUCUAUCAGCAAAGGUCUAGCAUCCAUUAAGCCUUUUUUUCAACUUUUGACCUCGGAUCAGGUAGGGAUACCCGCUGAACUUAAGCAUAUCAAUAAGCGGAGGA